rnacentral:rRNA from 1 species
AUGGCUCAUUAAAUCAGUUAUGGUUCAUUAGAUAUUACCAUACUUUACUUGGAUAACUGUGGUAAUUCUAGAGCUAAUACAUGCAAACCGAGUUCCGACCGGUGACGGUAGGGACGCUUUUAUUAGAUCAAAAUCAAUACGUUUGUUUUUGGACAAAUGUAAACUAUUGGUGACUCUGAAUAACUUUUUGAUGAUCGCAUGGUCUUUGUACCGGCGACAAAUCUUUCAAAUGUCUGCCUUAUCAACUGUCGAUGUUAGGUUCUGCGCCUAACAUGGUUGUAACGGGUAACGGGGAAUCAGGGUUUGAUUCCGGAGAGGGAGCCUGAGAAACGGCUACCACAUCCAAGGAAGGCAGCAGGCACGCAAAUUACCCACUCCCAGCACGGGGAGGUAGUGACGAAAAAUAACGAUACGGGACUCAUCCGAGGCCCCGUAAUCGGAAUGAGUACACUUUAAAUACUUUAACAAGUAACAAUCGGAGGGCAAGUCUGGUGCCAGCAGCUGCGGUAAUACCAGCUCCGAUAGCGUAUAUUAAAGUG